UCACUUGUUCUUUAAAUGAGGACUCGUAUCAACGGCAUCACGAGGAUCCUACUGUCUCCCCCCUCUAAUCGGUGAAACUGAUCUCUCCGUGAAGAAGCGGAGAUGUACAUAUAAGACGAGAAGACCCCAUGGAGCUUUAAACCCAACAACACCCGCCCCCCUCCAAAUCCUAUUAUUUACCCGGUGAUUGUUUGUUUGGUUUUAGGUUGGGGUGACCGCGGAGUAUAAGAUAUCCUCCAUGAAAAAAAGCUAACUGCCCUUAUUAGAGAAAGACACUUCCAAAAAAUAAUAAAUUAAUUUUAAAUGAUCCGACAUUCGAUCAACGAACCAAGUUACCCUGGGGAUAACAGCGCAAUCCGUCCCGAGAGCCCCUAUCGACAGGCGGGUUUACGACCUCGAUGUUGGAUCAGGGUAUCCUAGUGGUGCAGCAGCUACUAAAGGUUCGUUUGUUCAACGAUUAAAACCCU
rnacentral:rRNA from 1 species